rnacentral:rRNA from 1 species
GAGUUUGAUCAUGGCUCAGAUUGAACGCUGGCGGCAUGCCUUACACAUGCAAGUCGAACGGUAACAGGUUAAGCUGACGAGUGGCGAACGGGUGAGUAAUAUAUCGGAACGUGCCCAAUAGUGGGGGAUAGCCCGGCGAAAGCCGGAUUAAUACCGCAUACGACCUACGGGUGAAAGCGGGGGAUCGCAAGACCUCGCGCUAUUGGAGCGGCCGAUAUCAGAUUAGCUAGUUGGUAGGGUAAAAGCCUACCAAGGCGACGAUCUGUAGCUGGUCUGAGAGGACGACCAGCCACACUGGGACUGAGACACGGCCCAGACUCCUACGGGAGGCAGCAGUGGGGAAUUUUGGACAAUGGACGAAAGUCUGAUCCAGCCAUGCCGCGUGCGGGAAGAAGGCCUUCGGGUUGUAAACCGCUUUCGUCAGGGAAGAAAAGUUUGGGGCUAAUAUCCUCGAAUGAUGACGGUACCGUAAGAAUAAGCACCGGCUAACUACGUGCCAGCAGCCGCGGUAAUACG